AUUGCCUCAGUAACGGCGAGUGAAGCGGCAACAGCUCAAAUUUGAAAUCUGGGCCUUUCAGGCUCCGAGUUGUAAUUUGUAGAAGAUGCUUCGGGUGUGGCUCCGGUCUAAGUCCCUUGGAACAGGGCGUCAUAGAGGGUGAGAAUCCCGUAUGUGACUGGCUGCCUCCGCCCAUGUGAAGCUCUUUCGACGAGUCGAGUUGUUUGGGAAUGCAGCUCAAAAUGGGUGGUAUAUUUCAUCUAAAGCUAAAUAUUGGCCAGAGACCGAUAGCGCACAAGUAGAGUGAUCGAAAGAUGAAAAGCACUUUGGAAAGAGAGUUAAACAGUACGUGAAAUUGUUGAAAGGGAAGCGCUUGCAACCAGACUUGAGCGUCGUCGAUCAUCCUCGGUUCUCCGGGGUGCACUCGGCGGCGCGCAGGCCAGCAUCGGUUUCGGUGGCCGGACAAAGGCCCUGGGAAUGUGGCUCCCCUCGGGGAGUGUUAUAGCCCAGGGCGCAAUGCGGCCUACCGGGACCGAGGACCGCGCUUCGGCUAGGAUGCUGGCGUAAUGGUUGUAAGCGACCCGUCUUGAAACACGGACCAAGGAGUCUAACACUUAUGCGAGUGUUUGGGUGUCAAACCCAUACGCGUAAUGAAAGUGAACGGAGGUGAGAGCCCUUUAGGGUGCAUCAUCGACCGGUCCUGAAGUUUACGGACGGAUCUGAGUAAGAGCAUAAUUGUUGGGACCCGAAAGAUGGUGAACUAUGCCUGAAUAGGGUGAAGCCAGAGGAAACUCUGGUGGAGGCUCGCAGCGGUUCUGACGUGCAAAUCGAUCGUCAAAUUUGGGUAUAGGGGCGAAAGA
rnacentral:rRNA from 1 species